UUUACAGUCACUCAGGCUUAUAACCCAAGUUAUAAAGGUCAAAGCUCUGAAUCAAUUAAGAUGUUUUAGAGCAAGAGAAGAAAUAUCUGUAAUUAUUCAAAUGGACUGGAGACAAAAGCAUUAAAAAUGGAGGGCCAGACCCUCGGCUGGUAGAAAGAGGCAGUGUUGCCUUGUGGACAGAAUACUGCACUGGGACUCAGGAGACCUGGGUUCUCUUCCCAGCUCUGCUAUUGGGCUGCUAGUGACCUUGGGUAAGACAUGUCACCUCUCCGUGCCUCAGUUUCCCAUUUGUAAAAUGGGGAUGAUACUGACCUCCUUUGUGAAGUGCUUUGAGAUCUAUGGUGGAAGCACACAAUAUAAAAGCUAGGAAUUAGUAUUAUUAAAUUAUCAUUAUUAAAUUUAAAUCUCAGUGUCUGAUUUACCCCAGCUGUGGAUCUCGCCCUCCAACUGCACAUGCCUGUCUAUUUACUAAUAAUGCAGGGUCAGAGUUCUAGUCGCUCGUGUUCAGCCAAGAUUCAUCCUUUUGACUCUUCAGUCCCAGUUCUCCACUGGACAUAAAUCAUCAAAUCUGGAUGUACUGCCAAUCCCCUUGUCAAUGUCUAAUUUCCAUGGCAAGAGGCCAUUACUCACUGAGCUGCCUUGGGAAAGUCAGACUAUGCAGGGAUUGGAGGAUGUCUUUGAAAUAGGUCAAUUGGAAUAUCCACCCUGACGCAUUCACACUCAUGAUCACCCAGUCCAAGGCUCACCCUUCACUUUUCCUGAGGAUUGUGGCAUAUCCAAGAUGCAACAGAGUCAGCAAUGGCCCUCACAGUCUCUUGGUAUCCUGUGUGCUCCAAGAAGAUAGAGGGGCAGGGUGAAUGCUCUAGUGACUUUGGACACAACUAUACAUCAAGUAACAUUAGAAGGAAGGGCUUGGGGGUGACCAUAUCAAAAUAGAAAGAUAUUCCUGAGCAACCGGCACUCCCAUUCACAGUGCUGCAGGCCACUAUGCCUUUCAUGUGAGAGCACAUAACAUCUCUAGGGCAACUAUAGCAGUCGCUUGCAUGUAAGCGAUCAGAAAAACAGGUGUUUAUUUCUAGCUGUCUUCUGGGUGAGGAAGUGUUUUGUCCUUUUAAAAGACAGUCAACUAUGUCUAUUUUUAUUCUUCCUCUUCUCUCUCCUCCAUUUGUUUUGGCACCUGGAGUGAACCUGCUUCUAUUACACUUUGCCAAUAGCCAAAUGGGUCAACUUAAUGUACUUAACUUCUCAAUCCCAGAGUCCAGCCUAUACUAGUGUCAUGAGUGAAACAGACCUGGUUUUUUGUUUUUAAGUCUAUGCACAAGAACAACCUGUGAUCUACAGAAGAUAAUAUGGGACCAGGACAAACAGACUUUACUACCUCUAUUUUAAAAAAGGUUAUCACUGCAAGACUUAAAGUCAUCUGAAGGGCAGCAAAGAACAGCUUGCAGCAUGUUUACUGGCCUGCACUCUGUGUUGAUAGAGUACUUGUUCAGCAUUCUUUGUUGCUGCUAUUCCUUUAACCUUCAGCAGCACCACUGAAUUCCAAAGGAUUGCAGGACCCUCAUGUCCAUCAGCCUGGAGUUAUAAAACUUUCUAUUCAAUAAUUUGCCAAUAUUUGGAGUGUUCAAACAGAAGACAACACUGUGGGAAAAAAACCUUUUCUUAAGGGUUUAUUACUGUUCUUUAGUGCAAUCAUUUAAAAGGGGAUAGUCCCGCAGCAUCAGUCUCAGGCAAUUCAAGAGCUAGAGGCUUGAUGUUCAGGAAUGCAGGGCACCCAUUUGAAGUCAGUGAGAUCUGCAGGUGCUUAGCACCUUUGAAAAAGAAAAAGAAAAAAAGCAGACCCUGUGUGCAUAUUUUAUACACAGGUAAGAAAGAAGCAAAGAAAAACUAUAAAACCAAUUACUUCAGCAAUUGUGUAUCUGGUAUGUCAGUGAACUCACAAUAUACAACUCUUGGAUAAACUGGCUUAGACUUAUUUUAUCAUGCCUUAGGCGCCCUAUGUAACUUAUUCACUGCCCUCCUCCCAAACUAAGACUCCCCCAAACAACCAAAUACACAUACAUAGGAACUGCAUGACUAGGUAGACAAGACUCCACAAUCUUGUGGGCCAAAUUAGGAGAGAUUAUUCAAUUUUGCCGCAAGGGAGUUGAGUAGGGUAGAAAAAUGACGUGAUCUCAAUUAAUGCUGCUAUUUCACAUGACUAUUGCUUGAAUUUAAGUUCACUUGCUGUUUGAGGAAGUGACCUAAUACAUCUAGUCAGCCAUAGAAAUAUAAUUUGGUAUUUGAUAUUUAGCCAAGAUACUGAAUUUUGAUUAGCCUAUUUAGUGUAUUAUAUUAGCAAACACCUGCAUUAGAAAUUACAGUUAUUUAAAUCUCCCUAAAGUUAUUAAAUUGUGGAAAACUAUUUGACUACAUUCUUAUUUUAAGCUUCAUGCCAAUUGACAAUUGAGUUAUCUAUUCCAUGUGAAAACAACAGUUAAUUGCUUAUGCCUCCUAAAAAAAUGUAACACAGACUUUCAAUUAUGGAAGGGCUUGAACGCCUAAUAAAAUGAACCACCAUCCCACAAAUUCUGUAUUCCUCAGUCUUCUCUUUAAAUAUCUGUAUUUUAGGUUAUUUCAAAGCGUCUUUAUACCAUAUUUUAACUCCCAAAACUUAAGACCCACAGACAUUUCUACACCUGAUUUUUAAAAUCUAUUAUAAAGGUAUACAACACAUGGAAAAGCCAAUUUUUUCCAUUUGCUAGAAAAACAGUCUCGUUCAUUUUCAGAGAAACAGGUAUACUAAAGAAAGUUAAAAAUAAUCCACACCACAGAUAUUUAAACAAGAGGGUGUAUGUUUUAAUAUACACAUAACAUUAUCAGAGUCAAUUACAUGUGAAACUUUUCACCUCACAGAUUCCUAGAUAAUAAUGGACCUGUUUUGCCAAUGGAAAGAAAAACAGGUUUGCUCCUGCAUCAGGCUUCUGUAACUGUGUCAAACCGGAUAUACUAGGACAACUAGAAAGAGUACAACCAUUGCAACACGUUUCUUUAAAAAAAAAAAAAAACCCUUAUAGGCAGAGGAAAUGAGAGAAAUGUAGUAAGACUGAUUCACUUUUACCUGUACAAAACAAACCAGCCUGAUCAGAUCUUUCCUAAUACCACUUCUUGACACCCACCCAAACACAUACUACACCCCUUAGUCCCUAAAAUGAAAGAGCUGAGUUGGCAGCUGGCCCAGCCAAUGAAUAACCUGGUUGAAGGUGUCUGAUUUAGACAGGCCACAGUUUCCUUAUUACAGGAAGUGUAAACUGUAUCAAUGCAAUCAACAGGGGGCAUUUCACAUCCAGAUGUGUCUGCUUUUUUUCCCCCCCUUGGUCUUAAACUUCAUGAAUUUUAUUCA